rnacentral:tRNA from 1 species
GGCUUGUGGCUCAGUGGUAGAGCACUCGCCUAGCACAUGUAAGAUGCUGGGUUUGAUCCUCAGCACCA